AUCUCUAUCUGGAGGUCAUCCCUCUUGGAACACUUCAGUGAGCCCAGGACACAGGUGAAAACCCUACUCUUUUAUCCUUCGAUGUCCUAAAUUGUCAUCUUUUAUCUUGAAGACUAAUUUUCAGGGUGUUUGCAUGGCAUUCUACCUAACAAAUAAUGAUGCAGCAAAGAAAUUCUUUUGGAUGCAGGAGACAUGGCACAGUCGAGACAAACUCUGCUAGGUUAUUGCUGCUGUUCUUCUGAACUGCUGCUUGUUAUGAGAAUACAUGAAAGUAAAACUUCUUCAGUCUGAUGUGAACAUUAAAUGUAGUUGGUAGUGGAGAAUUGAAUAGUGUGCAAGAAUGAAAACUGAAAAGAAAUCUCCAAGGAAAGUGAUUCCUAAAACAAACGCAGAACAUGGAGUGGUGAACAAGUGACAUUUUGGACAACGAGAUGACACUCCUUAAUUUGUGCUUUGGUCCAAAUUCACUUUCAUAAUUGAAAGAAAAUUCAUAAAAAACGUUAUUGGAAGAUUAACACCACCUGUAAACAACACUAUUUUAGGAGAUAUCUUGCUGCCUUCUCUUCAGAGCUCUUAAAUCAAACUCUUUUGCUAUUUCAUAGACUCUAAUGAAUUGAAGGUAUAUGUUAAGCUUUGUAGGAUGCUGUCAGUUCUGGCACUGUUGGCUCCUGUGCUUUUGAGUAGUUGCUGGUUGAAAUUCAUUCUUGUUUUUCUUCUCCUGAAACAGUUCAGGACAGGAUGAUGCUGAGAUCUAAGCACAGUCUGUUCUAGAUCUCCUAGUGUGCUGGAAAUGGAGAGGCCGCAUGUUAUUUAUUGUUUUCUUCCAUUGAAACUCUAUUAUUUCACAAUUAGAGAGAAAAUAUGUAGGUGUUUCAGCUUGGAGAAGUUACUGUUAGUGGAAGGAGGCUAUAUGAUCGGCAGUAUACAAUAAAGAUUCUGAAUAUUUAAUAACUUUACU
rnacentral:lncRNA from 1 species